rnacentral:rRNA from 1 species
UACGUAGGGGGCAAGCGUUGUCCGGAUUUAUUGGGCGUAAAGAGCGUGUAGGCGGCCAGGUAGGUCUGCUGUGAAAACUCGAGGCUUAACCUCGAGCUGUCGGCGGAAACCAUCUGGCUAGAGUCCGGAAGAGGAGAAUGGAAUUCCUGGUGUAGCGGUGAAAUGCGCAGAUAUCGUGAGGAAGACCAGUGGCGAAGGCGGGUCUCUGGACAGUUCCUGACACUGAGGCACGAAGGCUAGGGGAGCAAACGGG